rnacentral:rRNA from 1 species
UUCCUACGGGAGGAGCAGUGGGGAAUCUUGCGCAAUGGUCGUAAGGCUGACGCAGCGACGCCGCGUGGAGGACGAAGGCCUUCGGGUUGUAAACUCCUUUUCUGGGGGACGAAUAAGGUGGGCAGGCAAUGGUCCACCGAUGACGGUACCCCAGGAACAAGCGCCGGCUAACUUCGUGCCAGCAGCCGCGGUAAAACGAAGGGCGCAAGCGUUAUCCGGAAUUACUGGGCGUAAAGGGCGUCUAGGCGGCCAAUCAAGUCAACGUUGAAAGCCCUUGGCUAAACUGAGGGAUGUACGUCGAAACUGAUUGGCUCGAGGAAUGUAGAGGAAGGCGGAACUCUCGGAGUAGCGGUGAAAUGCGUAGAGACCGAGAGGUACCCCGAUGGUGAAGACAGCCUUCUGGGCGUUUCCUGACGCUGAAGCGCUAAGGCCAGGGGAGCGAAGGGGAUUAGAUACCCCCGUAGUCCUGGCUUCAAACGAUGUGGGCUUGGUGUCGGCUC